UUUUGACCUCAGUGGAGCAUUUCACCUCCAGCAGCUGUGUAAUUAACUGGAAUGAGUGUUAGACCGCUUGUACUUUCUUCAUUGCUAUUAGUGUUAAGUACGGACUCUGGCUGCUGUAUCACAAAGGAUCAUAGGCAAUUGCCAUAACCAGCCUAUCUGCUAUCUUUUCAAGUUCAAGGAGUCUUCUCAGCAUAGUGAUUUCCGGGGAUAUAGACACUCUUGGCAAUUGGAGGGGGAAGGUGAAUUACUUUUGCACUUUUUGUUUUAAAUUAACAGGAUCAGUUCAGGAAAUGGUUGACUCAGUUGCUAGUCCAUGAGAGACGCCCAUUUAAUAGGAAAUCAUAUUUCAGAAAGAUUAUCUUCAGACCGUGAGGUGCAUGUUCUUCAAAAUGAUAUUCAUAUUCCAGGAAGAAAAGUCUCGUCUGCUAUACUGAAUAGAGCAUACAACACUCACAGAUGGCACACAUACAGAGUCUGCAUGAUAAUCCAUUUACAGAAAAUACCACAGCCACUGCACUUAAAUGCCAUUUGAAAGAGGGACAAAGUUCACAUCACAGUGAGUA
rnacentral:lncRNA from 1 species